rnacentral:sRNA from 1 species
AAACUCAUUCAAUAUUGGAAGACAAGGCGACCUCCAUUGCACCUUGGAGGGGCGCCCGUCUAAGGCUGGCCCAAGUGGCUGAGCCUAUGUUGUAAUUUGUGGUCGAAUGCCUGCCGUA